rnacentral:rRNA from 1 species
AUUGAACGCUGGCGGCAUGCCUUACACAUGCAAGUCGAACGGUAACAGGUUAAGCUGACGAGUGGCGAACGGGUGAGUAAUGUAUCGGAACGUGCCCAGUCGUGGGGGAUAACUACUCGAAAGAGUGGCUAAUACCGCAUACGACCUGAGGGUGAAAGCGGGGGACCGUAAGGCCUCGCGCGAUUGGAGCGGCCGAUAUCAGAUUAGCUAGUGUGUGGGGUAAAAGCCCACCAAGGCGACGAUCUGUAGCUGGUCUGAAAGGACGACCAGCCACACUGGGACUGAGACACGGCCCAGACUCCUACGGGAGGCAGCAGUGGGGAAUUUUGGACAAUGGACGCAAGUCUGAUCCAGCCAUGCCGCGUGCGGGAAGAAGGCCUUCGGGUUGUAAACCGCUUUUGUCAGGGAAGAAACGAGUUUCUCUAAUACAGAGACUUAAUGACGGUACCUGAAGAAUAAGCACCGGCUAACUACGUGCCAGCCGCCGCAGUAAAAC